AAUGAACGCUGGCGGCAUGCCUUACACAUGCAAGUCGAACGGCAGCACGGGGCAACCUGGUGGCGAGUGGCGAACGGGUGAGUAAUGCAUCGGAACGUACCUUUCAGUGGGGGAUAACGUAGCGAAAGUUACGCUAAUACCGCAUAUUCUGUGAGCAGGAAGGCAGGGGAUCGCAAGACCUUGCGCUGAUUGAGCGGCCGAUGUCAGAUUAGCUAGUUGGUGAGGUAAAGGCUCACCAAGGCGACGAUCUGUAGCGGGUCUGAGAGGAUGAUCCGCCACACUGGAACUGAGACACGGUCCAGACUCUUACGGGAGGCAGCAGUGGGGAAUUUUGGACAAUGGGGGCAACCCUGAUCCAGCCAUGCCGCGUGAGUGAAGAAGGCCUUCGGGUUGCAAAGCUCUUUCGGCCGGGAAGAAAUCGCACGGGCUAAUACCCUGUGUGGAUGACGGUACCGGAAUAAGAAGCACCGGCUAACUACGUGCCAGCCGCCGCGGUAAAAC
rnacentral:rRNA from 1 species